UGUCAAAGUCCACAUAGUCAAACACACAAGUGUCGUCGUGAAGGAUUCUUGGACAUUCACAUUAUUUAGCUUCAUCAUGACUGAACACCUGCUGUUAGUCGUCCUCAUGUGUUCCUUUACGGAGAUGUAAGCACAAGCUCUUCUUACACCUACACUGACAGUGAAUCCACCGGUGAUCUCAGAGACAGACUCAGUCACUCUGCACUGUCAGACUCCAUCAUCUGUGUCUCAGUGUUAUUUCAAAACUAUGAGAACAAAACCGGGCAAAGUCUUCCCCUGUCUGAAGACACUGACAGGAACUGAGCUGCUGGAGAUGUCACAUCAGAGUUCACCUGCUGAGGUUGAGAUGACAUGUUUUUACACUGUAAAGCUUGGAGAGUCACAUUACCCAUCUCCACACAGUGACACAUCCUCCGUCACCAUACACAGUGAAACAUCCUCCGUCACCAUACACAGUGAUACAUCCUCCGUCACCAGACACAGUGACACAUCCUCCGUCACCAUACACAGUGACACAUCCUCCGUCACCAUACACACUCUAAAACCUGAGAUGAGUCUUCAGCAUUUUCCUGGUGAAUACGUUAUCAUGACCUGCACUCUGCCUGGAUCUGCUCAUGAAGAUACGAGAUGUAACCUUUACUUUGGAGAAGAAAGGGAUCCAUCUCUAACAACAACCAUCUGGAAGCAAAGGACCUCAAAGAAUCAGAGGUUCUGCCAGUUUACUGUCACA